GGGCCCAUAGCUCAACGGUAGAGCAGGUGACUCAUAAUCACUUGGUUGGGGGUUCGAAUCCCUCUGGGCCCACCA
rnacentral:tRNA from 2 species